rnacentral:lncRNA from 1 species
AUGAUCUUUUGAUAACUUAUCAUCUUCUAUCAUCAGAUUAUAGCUCUCUAUAAAAAUGGCUUCAAAGUAUGCAUUAGUAAUUUUAGGACUCUUAGCCAUGAUUGCUCUGGUUCCAUCAAAGAUGACAGCUGCAAGAGACUUUGCUGUAAAAGGUAAUCAAUUUGCACUGGCAUUUAUUUUGCAUUUUCUUUACUCUUAAAAUCUCUGAAUCAUUGGUAAAGCUUUCAUUAAGGGUUCUUUUUAUCUCACUAAUGUCAAUGUUAACUUAUAAUAAAAAAAAAGAUAUUUUUAGUAAUCGAUAAAGAUGUUCAUCGUAUUGAAUCUCAUAUUUGCAUUUUUUAUGUUUGAAUUCGAUUUGAUCCAUACAUUUACAGUUCGGAUUAGAUAUCGAAUAUAUCUGCAAAAUAAAAAAUAUAUUAAAAAACUUAUUUCUAUUAGGAAUAUUUAUGGAUCGGAUCCGAUCCACACAUUUGCGAUAUUUAUCCGAAUCCAAUCCAAAAUUACGAGUAUCGAUCCGAUAAAUAAAACUAUCGGAUCGAAUCCGAUAUUUGCACACUAAUAAGAUCGGAUUGCGGAUUUUAUGUAGGUAUCUGCAUAUCCGAUUUGUACACCAGCGGAUUUACAAAAAUAAAUAAAUAACUAAAUAUUCUUUUUAUAUUUUAUUUUAAUUAAUAAUUAUCAUAUAUAUUGUAUUAUUAUAUUUAUUAUUUAAAAAAUAUAUUUAAUAUUAUUUUAAAAAUAAACAUAUUUAAAAAAAAUUUAUUGAUAUUUUUUAUAAAUUAGUACCUUAAUAAUGUUUAAGAGAACUCACAAGCUCAUUGUGUAUUUAAUUAAUUUGUAGCAGAAAUAUCAAAAUCAAAUGAUAAUGAAGCUGAAGGUUCUGGUGAGAUAGGAGGAAUUAAGCUGGAGAUUCCAAAAGGUUGCCGUCUAUGCUGCCAAGGGAAAAUCUGCUAUACUUGUUUUUGCAAGAAACCUCCUCCUAGCAAUAAUAACAAUUUAUGAGAUAGAGGAAAAUAAUAAAAAUUAUAUAUAUUGUUAGAAAUAAAAGAAGAGGAAGCCNNN